rnacentral:rRNA from 1 species
CCUACAGGUGGCAGCAGUGGGGGAUAUUGCACAAUGGGGGGAACCCUGAUGCAGCGACGCCGCGUGGGUGAAGAAGCGCCUCGGCGCGUAAAGCCCUGUCAGCAGGGAAGAAAAUGACGGUACCUGAAGAAGAAGCCCCGGCUAACUACGUGCCAGCAGCCGCGGUAAUACGUAGGGGGCACGCGUUAUCCGGAUUUACUGGGUGUAACGGGGGCGCAGUCGGCGAUGCAAGCCAGGAGUGAAAGCCCGGGGCCCAACCCCGGGACUGCUCUUGAAACUGCGUGGCUGGAGUGCAGGAGGGGCAGGCGGAAUUCCUGGUGUAGCGGUGAAAUGCGUAGAUAUCAGGAGGAACACCGGUGGCGAAGGCGGCCUGCUGGACUGCAACUGACGUUGAGGCCCGAAAGCGUGGGGAGCAAACAGGAUUAGAUACCCGAGUAGUC